AACGAACGCUGGCGGCAGGCUUAACACAUGCAAGUCGAGCGCCCCGCAAGGGGAGCGGCAGACGGGUGAGUAACGCGUGGGAAUCUACCCAUCUCUACGGAAUAACGCAUGGAAACGUGUGCUAAUACCGUAUACGUCCUUCGGGAGAAAGAUUUAUCGGAGAUGGAUGAGCCCGCGUGGGAUUAGCUAGUUGGUGGGGUAAAGGCCUACCAAGGCGACGAUCCAUAGCUGGUCUGAGAGGAUGAUCAGCCACACUGGGACUGAGACACGGCCCAGACUCCUACGGGAGGCAGCAGUGGGGAAUAUUGGACAAUGGGCGCAAGCCUGAUCCAGCCAUGCCGCGUGAGUGAUGAAGGCCCUAGGGUUGUAAGGCUCUUUCACCGGUGAAAAUAAUGACGGUAACCGGAGAAGAAGCCCCGGCUAACUUCGUGCCAGCAGCCGCCGUAAUAC
rnacentral:rRNA from 1 species